GAGGAGGAGGAGGAAGAGGAGGAGAUAAAUUCAGAGGAUAAUCAAAACAACGUUAUUUUCACAAUCUAGUCAAUGACUUAGGAAUUUGAAAAAGAAUCUAAUCUUUAUUACCAAUUUGUCCUCAUCUUUAUAAUUCUGCUUAUGAUUUCAUCUAAUGCUUUCAUUUUUCAUUGUCACCUCCACAUCAUUCUCAUCAAACAUGCUUAUUUCUUCAAUUAUAUUGCAGAGACAACUGUUUGCAUCCUCAAGUAAUGAUAUUACUGUAAAAAAGUAUUGGAUGUACAACAAACAACCCACACUAGCCUAAACCCACACUAGCCUAAAAAAUAAUAAAGUACUCAAACUAGACAAAGGAACUGUAAACAACAUCCCAAUGAAGGAAAACUUUCCAGAACUACAUAAACACUGUAAAUCAGUUAACUAAACAUGUAGCCAGUUCAAAUGUUUUCAGAUGAAAUUUAAAAAUAACAACUUAGAACUUGCUAGGUCACUUCGAAUAUGAUAUAAAAUAGGAAUUUAGCAAUGUCAACAUUGCAGCAAAUUAGCUAUUUGCCUAUUUCAAUUAUAUCACCCAGAUGCACCAAGAACAUUAUCUUUACAAGGGUUUGACAAGAUUCUUCAAAGCACAAUUUUUUACUUUUAUAUAUAAUUUUCCUCUUCCAAUUAAUAAAUAAUAACAACUUACCAAUUGGCAAAGAGGAUGAUUUAGCAUUCAUUACCCAUAACACAUCAGUACAGUGCCAAAAAUUGAACUGAUAUAGGAAGCGGAAAAAAUAGUGUUAACUAGAGUACACAACACAGAAAAGUAUCAUGUUAGUUGUGAUGCUUUAGUUCUACCAUAAAUAAUGCAAGACCACUUUUCUCAGCCGAUAUAACAAGGUCAAACGAACAUUUUCUACUAAAUAAAAAAAAUUCCAAAAAAAAGCUCAACAAUUUAGAAGCCGCUCCGAGAAGACCAAACAAUGCAAAAGUAAAUCCUGACAAAUUGAAUUAUUAUUUCAAUUUUCCAUGUCCUUGCCACGACCUUCGUUAUAAGCAUAAAUUCAAUCCAACAUGAAACAUAAAAUGAUAGUCUCAUUAGUAUUGCUUUUGGAUUUCAUAAAAGUUUACCCUUUCCAAGUACACAAUCGAAAACGUAGAUCAUUUGGAUACUAG
rnacentral:misc_RNA from 1 species